rnacentral:rRNA from 1 species
GUGUCAGCAGCCGCGGUAAUACGAAGGACCCGAGCGUUAUCCGGAUUUAUUGGGUUUAAAGGGUGCGUAGGCGGAAUAGUAAGUCAGUGGUGAAAGCCUGUUGCUUAACAACAGAACUGCCAUCGAUACUGCUAAUCUUGAGUACAUAUGAUGUGGGCGGAAUGUGCCAUGUAGCGGUGAAAUGCUUAGAUAUGGCACAGAACACCGAUUGCGAAGGCAGCUCACAAAACUGUUACUGACGCUGAGGCACGAAAGCGUGGGGAUCAAACAGGAUUAGAUACCCUAGUAGUCC